rnacentral:rRNA from 1 species
UAGAAGUCGUAACAAGGUCCCCGUUGGUGAACCAGCGGAGGGAUCAUUA